AGUCCAGUUCCUGUGAAAGAAGGGAAAGCAGCAGUUUGGCUGGGAUUUAAAACAUACAGAUUCCGGGGACAGGAGUGACAUUCUAUGGCGAACUGAGGAUUAAGGAGAAAUUUCUGUAGGUAAGGGUGCUACAGUAAGGGGCAGGCAAUUUGAUUGCAGAGUUUCUAUGGGUACAAAAUAAGCAUCAGGCAGAAAUGGGAAUCCCAAAGCCUAAGAAGAUGGUAAGUGAAAGAGUGCUGAGGGAAAGAGAAAGGUUAGGACAGGGAAGAUAGAGAAUGGGAGAAGGAUCUAUUAAAGGGGGGAGCUGGGGAACUUGAUUUUAUACAUUCACUGAACUAAUCAGCCAGCUCUUGGGCUUCUGUCAAAACUUUUGUUUUGUAGCUUUGCACAAAUUCCUGGCUUGGAGCCAUCUUCUUAAUUUUUUUGUAUAUAUGUAUUUUUAAUCACCCUCUGGACUUUCCAAGGUCUGGUAUAAUUGCUGUGAUGCGAAAACAAGAACAAAUUAACAUGGCAUGUGUUAACACUUGUGCCUAAAUGCUUACAGGCUAACACGUACUAAUGAAUGCAGCAAUCCUAUGGUAAUGAAACAUAAACAGUAUGCAUUAAUGGCAAGAACAUUUCUGAGGUUGCAAAACAACUGGUUUGAGGAAUGGUGGGUUGGCAGGUGAGGUUGUAGUGGGUUACAUUGGUGCUUUAGGGGGAAAAGUCUGACCCCACCGAAGGUGAUGGAAACAGCAGGAGAGGAUACAAUUGUCCUACAUCAAACAUAGCAUACUUAAACCUAGUUUGCCCUGGUUCUGCUAAAACCUAAAUGCAUAUUCAUCUCUGUGUUUUAAUCUCUCAGUGGCUGUAACUACUGGGCCAGGUUUGAUAUACAAAGCCCUGAUCAACCUGGUUUUUUGAAGGUGUCUUGAAAAUGUUCCUUCGGCAUUUGCUCAUGCUGUUUAAUUCCUCUCUCCCUGCGAUGACUAGACUGAAGGCUCUACAAUCCAGCAAUUGCAUUACUAUAUAACAAAUGCAUUAUUCUGUAACAAAUGUCAAGGAUUCUAAACAAAACCUUUAUAGCUUCCUUUUUAAUUGUCACUUGAGUGCCGAAGCCUAAUUAUAAUGACAUUACAUCUCAAGCACUAAACAUAAACAAUGAUCAUAAAUAAACGUCUGACAGAAGCAAAACUCUUGUCAACAGGACGUAACAUACAGGCAACUAAUUAUAUUAAUGGAAACACUGUGCUUUUUUCUUUAAUCCAUUAAGCUGUCUACUCUUGGGUUUUCUUGCGGAAGCAGAUGUAUUUUUUGGAGGGGGGGCGUUAGGAGCAGGAAGAUUGGGAAUAACAUUUGGCCACAGGUUCCAGCUCUCCAUUGUAAAAUUUCACAUCUUUCCUUUUUGGUAAGGAAUUGCAUAAAACUCAGGGACGCGGGUGGCGCUGUGGGUAAAACCUCAGCGCCUAGGACUUGCCGAUCGCAUGGUCGGCGGUUUGAAUCCCCGCGGCGGGGUGAGCUCCCGUCGUCCUGUCCCACCUCCUGCCCACCUAGCAGUUCGAAAGCACAAUUAAGUGCAAGUAGAUAAAUAGGGACCGCUUUCUAGCGGGAAGGUAAACAGCGUUCCGUGUGCUGCUCUGGUGCUGCUUCGCCGGAGCAGCUUUGUCACGCUGGCCACGUGAUCCGGAAGUGUCUGCGGACAGCGCUGGCUCCUGGCCUCUAGAGUGAGAUGAGCGCACAACCCUAGAGUCUGUCAAGACUGGCCCGUACGGGCAGAGGUACCUUUACCUUUACCUUUAGCAUAAAACUCAGGGACGCGGGUGAUGCUGUGGAUUAAACCACAGAGCCUAGGACUUGCCAAUCAGAAGGUCAGAGGUACAAAUCCCCGCAACAGGGUGAGCUCAUGUUGCUUGGUCUCUGCUCCUGCCCCAGCUCCUGCCAACCUAGCAGUUCGAAAGCACACCAGUGCAAGUAGAUAAAUAGGUACCGCUCUGGCAGGAAGGUAAACGGCAUUUCCGUGCACUGCUCUGGUUUGCCAGAAGUGGCUUAGUCAUGCUGGCCACAUGACCUGGAAGCUGUACGCCUGCUCCCUUGGCCAAUAAAGUAAGAUGAGCGCCGCAACCCCAGAGUCGGCCAUGACUGGACCUAAUGGUCAGGGGUCCCUUUACCUUUAACAUAAAACUCAAGGGUGGGAUGUCACUGGUUGUCAUCAGUGGGGAGGCGAGGGGGGUGGAGUUCUGUUCCUUGAGUGUAAAUCCUUGUACUGAUGGAAUGAGGCCACAUCCAUGCUAUAUAUUUAAAGCACUCUGAUGCCACUUUAAACAGGAUUCCCCAAAAGAAUCCUGGGAACUAUAGUUUGUUAAGGAUGCUGAGAGUUAUAAGGAAGCCCCUCUUCCCCUCGCAGAGCUACAAUUCCCAGAGCGGUUUAAUGGUCAAUCCAUCUUCCCAAGGAAUUCUAUGAACUGUAGGGUGUAAGUGUGUCCCAUGCGGAGCUAAUCCACAACACCUGACCCACCAAGGCAAAUUCCUAACACUAUACAGGGAAGAUGUCAUCAACAUUGUGAUCUCCAGUUGUUUUAUACUACAGAUCCCAUGCACCCCCAGCCUGCAGGGCCAAUGAAGGGAGCUGCAGUCCAAAGCAGCUGGAAGGUAAAUUUGCUGUGGAGAUAGCAGGUGUGACAGGAUAGGAGGCAGAUGAUUGGGAAGAAGGAUUUUCAGCAGGUACGGUUUGUCUCAGUUCUGUGUCACAAUGACACAGCAGAGAAAGGUGAUGUACACUUUCUGAUCAGCAGAAGGCACAGGAGCCUUUACCUCUGCAAUGAAUCCCCUCAUAAGGCCAUAGGAAAAUAGGCAAUGGCUGUUCAGGCUUUCAGGCAGGGGACAUUCCUGUUGGGAUGCUGCUAAGGAACCAGGAGAAAUUGGCAAGCCCCCAACUGGCUCCUGCCCACCAGCCAACAUGCUGGUUGAACUCCAGUCCUUGGUGCAGCAUGAAUCUGCGACCCAGAGCUUCAGAAGCUGGGCGCACAACUCAGCAGAGUAAACGCACAGCAGAAGUGGCAGGGAGAGGCUGUGUAAAGUACAUCUACAGGCAGUUUAUUCAGCGUAUAUCAGGACAAAGGAAAAACAUGUCUUCUCCCUUUCGUGUCCAAGAGCAAGCAGUAUCAGCAAUAGCUAUACACACAAAUGGAAGUUCCCAGCAAGCUGUGCUGGAAUUUAAACAGACAUGUGACAUACAACAAUUCCACAUGUCUGUUGAGGUGGAACGGAACAUCAAUAUCCUAACAAUUCCCAGACCUACCCGGAUAUGUUGGGGAUUGAACCUGGGACCUUCUGUAUGUAAAGCAGAUGCUCCACCACUGAGCUGCCUUUGAAGGUGACCCGAAAACUACAACUAAUCCAGAAUGCGGCAGCUAGACUGGUGGUGACUAAGAGUGGCCGCCAAGACCACAUAACACUGGUCCUGAAAGACCUACAUUGGCUCCCAGUACGUUUCCAAGCACAAUUCAAAGUGUUGGUGCUGACCUUUAAAGCCCUGAACAGCCUCAGCCCAGUAUACCUGAAGGAGCGUCUCCACCCCCAUCAUUCAGCCCGGACACUGAGGUUCAGCUCCGAGGGCCUUCUGGUGGUUCCCUCCCUGCAAGAAGUGACGUUACAGGGAACCAGGCAGAGGGCCUUUUCGGUAGUGGUGCCCGCCCUGUGGAACACCAUCCCAUCAGAUGUCAAGGAAAUAAACAACUAUCUGACUUUUAGAAGACAUCUGAAGGCAGCCCUGUUACUGAAGUUUUUAAUGCUUGAUGUUUUAUUCUGUUUUUAAUAUUCUGUUGGGAGCUGCCCAGAGUAUUACUACUACCACUAAUACUAAUACUAAUACUAAACUACUAGUAUGGCCCUUCCAGCCCCUGCCUUGCAAAAAUAUAAACACACCUACAUAUACAUUAUUUUCUUUGAAGCAUGUGACAGGCUGAAAAUUAUUGAUAGGUAGUGAAAAGGUCUCCCUCAGGAGGUUGUGGGUUCUCCUUCCUUGGAGGUUUUUAAGCAGAGGCUGGAUGGCCAUCUGUCAUGGAUGCUUUAGGUGAGAUUCCUGCAUUGCAGGGGGUUGGACUAGAUGACCCUCGAGGUCCCUUCCAACUCUACAAUUCUGUGAUUCCAAGAAUACAAAAAGAGCAUCCCUGUGAAUAUUUACAGCUAGCUGCAUCUUGCGCCGUGGAACUGAAUUCAAACGAAGCCUUUCUCGGAGGAAACAAUUUCUUGAAUUUAACCGAGGAAAAGUUGGGAAAGCAGCGCUCGCUUGCGCUGCGUUGCCCAUUUCAAACAAUUAGGCAUUAGAGUCAGAAUUGAUAAGCUGGCUGUUUGUGAAAUCCCGGGACGUUCCCCUCAGCUGCUCUGGUGGAACACAAGCAAGAACAAUGAGUGCACAAAAGGAAUGUGCCGGUGGUGUGUCAAGAGUAGGAGCGGCACCCGCAGAAUGCUGAACAGGCCCCUCUUUGCCACAUUUUUAUUCCACCAGGUGUUAUGCAGAGUAAGGCUACAAAAACAGCGAUAAGGAGGAUUUGAUCAUUUUCCGUUUGGCAGGUUUGAGUCCAUUACAACCGCAAAUUGGAAGAUUGAUGUCAAAUAACGCUGCCCAUUACUUGUUGGGAAAUGAUAGGGAAAUUGCAGACAAAUAACCCAUGAUUGUGCAGCGUUGUCUUGUUGGUUUUUUUAGAAAUGCGGUGCAGACCACUCAGUCGGAAAGAGGCAUCUCGUUCCCUCGGCAAUCAUUCCAUUUAUCCAGGGGGUGCAAAGAUUGCCAGCAUCUUCCCAGGCACUCCAAAAGCCCUCCCGCCUGAUUCUGAAUCACCUUUUGAGCAUCGAUAGUUGGACCGUAGACAAGCUGAACUACGUUUUCCACCUUCUCCACUGAAGGAUUUUAAGCAAUCAGAUUGGGGGGAUA